UACGUAGGGGGCAAGCGUUGUCCGGAAUCAUUGGGCGUAAAGAGCGCGUAGGCGGCCCUGUAAGUCCGCUGUGAAAGUCAAGGGCUCAACCCUUGGAUGCCGGUGGAUACUGCAGGGCUAGAGUCCGGAAGAGGCGAGUGGAAUUCCUGGUGUAGCGGUGAAAUGCGCAGAUAUCUGGAGGAACACCGGUGGCGAAGGCGGCAUCCUGGACCGAGAUUGACGCUGAGGCGCGAAAGCCAGGGGAGCAAACGGG
rnacentral:rRNA from 1 species